rnacentral:sRNA from 1 species
UUACUAUCUGUGCAUGUCAUUGGAUGAUUUUUGUCGCUGUUACUUUUGAAAAGUGUAACAGCAGUAACUAGUUACUUUUAAAUACUAAACAGGUUGAGUAAAUAGCGCUCGUCCCUAAUUCAAGCCAUAACAAAUUGACAAUGACAAAACAUGUAACAAAUUCUUCUAAAUCGCAAUCCGACAUAAGUAGAUGGCUUUUUUGAUGUUUCCAAAGCUAACCCACCCUGUGUUUGUUUUAUAUUCUCAUCCUCUUCUUAACUUAGACUCCCUAUGGCAUCAUCUGAACGGCAUAGAUUUUCCUCCCCUGCAUCAGUAAGCUAAAGGUUAUAACGUAUACAAAUAUCCAAUCACGCGAAAUAAGAUAACAGAAAGUCAAUAUGUACACUGACACAACUUCAAAUUGAAGCAUAUAUUUUGAAAACAAAUGUGGAUCAAACGAUCCACAAAAUAUAUAUUUAUCUUACCCGUUGCACACAAUAUCACAUAAGUUUAUGGUCUCAUCAACUGAGAAAUACAUAAGUAUUCUAAUAUCGUUUAAAAAAUUGUAAACAAACACAGCCUGGAGACAACAUCGACAUAAGCCGUAAUUAAACGAUCUUCUUAUGACAUAAAAAUUGAGUCCCAAACAUCAUUCCACAGUAUGACACAGUUAAAACUUCGGCUGAUUAAAUGCAAAGAUAUAUGUCCUGUGCGACCAAUCCAUUCAAUAAUAGUUUAAAUUCGUUUUGACCGACGACUUUUAAGCAUAGGCAACAGCGAGGUCUGAGAACUUAAGUGAUACUCGGUUGCGCAAGAGACAGGAUACUUAUUUGCGCAAGAGACAGGGCGUGGAAGCGAUUGAUUAUUGGGUUGUGAUAUGCAAAUACAUGCAGAUUCAUACAUACAUAUACAUAUGUAUAUGGUACAUAUGUAGGUACAUAUGUGGCUGACAGGGGAAAGGACGCAUAUGCGAACGAAAAAAAGUUAAAUAUGAAUAUACAUAUGAAUGUAUUUGUCAUCUGUCAGACACGCGAAAAAAGCCACCAUACAGUCAUCGUAACACUGUAUCUAUGAAAAUUAUGCUGAUCUACCAGACAGGCUGCUCCAGUGUGGCCAAAUUAAAAAUAUUUUAACGCCGCUUUUAUGUUUUUAAGCA